rnacentral:rRNA from 1 species
AGCCCCCCGUGGCGGCAAUGACCCAUUUGAACGUCUGCCCUAUCAACUUUCGAUGGUAGUCGCUGUGCCUACCAUGGUGACCACGGGUGACGGGGAAUCAGGGUUUGAUUCCGGAGAGGGAGCCUGAGAAAUGGCUACCACAUCCAAGGAAGGCAGCAGGCGUGCAAAUUACCCACCCCCGUCCCGGGGAGUUAGUGACGAAAAAUAAUACAGGACUCUUUCGAGCCCCUGUAAUUGGAAUGAGUCCACUUUAAAUCCUUUAACGAUCCAUUGGAGGGCAAGUCUGCUGCCAGCAGCCACGGUAAUUCCAGCUCCAAUAGCGUAUAUUAAAGUUGCUGCAGUUAAAAAGCUCGUAGUUGGAUCUUGGGAGUGGGCGGGUGGUCUGCCACGAGGCGAGCCACCGCUUGUCCCCACCCCUUGCCUCUUGGCGCCCCCUCGAUGCUCUUAGCUGAGUGUCCCGUGGGGCCCGAAGCGUUUACUUUGAAAAAAUUAGUGUUCAAAGCAGGCCCGAGCCGCCUGAAUACCGCAGCUAGGAAUAAUGGAAUAGGACCGUGGUCCUAUUUUGUUGGUUUUCGGAACUGAGGCCAUGAUUAAGACGGACGACCAGGGGCAUUCGUAUCGCGCCGCUGGAGGUGAAAUUCUUGAACUGGCGCAAGACGGACCAGAGCGAAAGUAUUUGCCAAGAAUGUUUUCAUUAAUCAAGAACGAAAGUCAGAGGUUUGACGACGAUCAGAUACUGUCCUAGUUCCUACCAUAAACGAUGCCGACUGGUGAUGCGGUGGCCUUAUUCCCAUAACCUGCUGGGCAGCUUCCGGGAAACCAAAGUCUUUGUGUUCCGGGGGGAGUAUGGUUGCAAAGCUGAAACUUGAAUUGAUGGAAGGGCACCACCAGGAGUGGAGCCUGCGGCUUAAUUUGACUCAACACGGGAAACCUCACCCAGCCCGGACACGGACAGGAUUGACAGACUGAUAGCUCUUUCUCGAUUCCGUGGGUGGUGGUGCAUGGCCGUUCUUAGUUGGUGGAGCGAUUUGUCUGGUUAAUUCCGAUAAGGAACGAGACUCUGGCAUGCUACCUAGUUACGUGACCCCCAAGCGGUUGGUGUCCCCUAACUUCUUAGAGGGACAAGUGGCGUUCAGCCACCCGAGAUUGAGCAAUAACAGGUCUGUGAUGCCCUUAGAUGUCUGGGGCUGCACCCGCGCUACACUAACUGGCUCAGCGUGUGCCUACCCUACGCUGGCAGGUGCGGGUAACCUGUUGAACCCCAUUCGUGAUGGGGAUCGGGGAUUGCAAUUAUUCCCCAUGAACGAGGAAUUCCCAGUAAGUGUGGGUCAUAAGCUUGCGUUAAGUCCCUGCCCUUUGUACACACCACUCGUCGCUACUACCAAUUGGAUGGUUUAGUGAAGCCCUGGGAUUGGCCCCGCUGGGGUCCGCCCACGGCCCUGGUGGAGCCCUGAGAAGACUGUCGAACUUGACUAUCUAGAGGAAGUAAAAGUCGUAACAAGGUUUUUCGUAGGUGAACCUGCGGAAG